rnacentral:rRNA from 1 species
GUAGGGGGCAAGCGUUGUCCGGAAUUAUUGGGCGUAAAGAGCGUGUAGGCGGUCCGGUAAGUCAGCUGUGAAAGUCAAGGGCUCAACCCUUGAAAGCCGGUUGAUACUGUCGGGCUAGAGUCCGGAAGAGGCGAGUGGAAUUCCCGGUGUAGCGGUGAAAUGCGCAGAUAUCGGGAGGAACACCAAUGGCGAAGGCAGCUCGCUGGGACGGUACUGACGCUGAGACGCGAAAGCGUGGGGAGCAAACAGGAUUAGAUACCCUGGUAGUCCACGCCGUAAACGAUGGGCACUAGGUGUUGGGGGUGUCGACUCCCCCGGCGCCGUAGCUAACGCAUUAAGUGCCCCGCCUGGGGAGUACGGCCGCAAGGCUAAA